UAGUUACACUUAUAUUGUAAUUAAUUCGGAGUACAAGAACAUUUCUCUAUAUAAGGACAUAUAAUAUCAAAUAAAUAUACACUGAUUAUGGUGAAAUCAAUGAAAAAAACUUUAAAUCAAUAUUUAAAAAAACUUUAAAAACAAUUCCUUCAAUAUUCAAAAGCAUCAAAUGUGGGACGAAUAACAAAAAUUUUUGAAAUGGAAUGGAAUCGCUUAACAAAGAAAAAAAAUAUUUAAAAUAUAACAAAAUAUCAUUAAAUAAAAAAUUUAUAAAUGGAUUAGAUUCUAUACUGAUACUGAUUGGAUUUAAUCAAACGGCACAAUCAUAUACAUUUUUUUUGGUUACAUCAACGUUUUGAAACUAAUAAGAACUAAAUGUAGUCUUUUCGGUGAACCCGAUCCCGAAACCGUAUUGCUUAAUAAGGAAUAAGGAAUAAGGAAUACAACAAUAAUGUUCACUAGUUGAAGACUACAAACUCUAAAUCAAAGCUUAUAAAGCAACCGCAACAAUUCACGAAAAAAUCAGAUAAGGAUCGAAUAAAAAAUUUAAAAACAGAAAAUAGUAAUUAAACGCUAACUUCGAGUUAAAUGAUGGAUAUUAAAGCAAUUUGAAGUAAAAUUCAUGAAGUUUAACAAUAGAAGCUACGUACAUUUGCACGGCAAGGCAUCAACUUGAUGGAAGAACAUACCUGACAAAUUUAGAAUAUUUUAAACUUUUUUUUUGAAUGGAUGCCUUAGUUUUAAAAAUUUACUUUAUUUAAACCAAUACCAUUGGAGAAUGG